GAUGAACGCUAGCGAGAGGCCUAACACAUGCAAGCCGAGCGGUAGAGGUUCUUCGGAAUCUUGAGAGCGGCGUACGGGUGCGGAACACGUGUGCAACCUGCCUUUAUCAGGGGGAUAGCCUUUCGAAAGGAAGAUUAAUACCCCAUAAUAUAUUGAAUGGCAUCAUUUGAUAUUGAAAACUCCGGUGGAUAGAGAUGGGGCACGCGCAAGAUUAGAUAGUUGGUGAGGUAACGGCUCACCAAGUCUACGAUCUUUAGGGGGCCUGAGAGGGUGAUCCCCCACACUGGUACUGAGACACGGACCAGACUCCUACGGGAGGCAGCAGUGAGGAAUAUUGGACAAUGGGUGAGAGCCUGAUCCAGCCAUCCCGCGUGAAGGACGACGGCCCUAUGGGUUGUAAACUUCUUUUGUAUAGGGAUAAACCUAGAUACGUGUAUCUAGCUGAAGGUACUAUACGAAUAAGCACCGGCUAACUCCGUGCCAGCAGCCGCGGUAA
rnacentral:rRNA from 1 species